CCUACGGGAGGCAGCAGUGAGGAAUAUUGGUCAAUGGACGAGAGUCUGAACCAGCCAAGUAGCGUGAAGGAUGACUGCCCUAUGGGUUGUAAACUUCUUUUAUAUGGGAAUAAAAUGUUCCACGUGUGGGAUUUUGUAUGUACCAUAUGAAUAAGGAUCGGCUAACUCCGUGCCAGCAGCCGCGGUAAUACGGAGGAUCCGAGCGUUAUCCGGAUUUAUUGGGUUUAAAGGGAGCGUAGGUGGAUUGUUAAGUCAGUUGUGAAAGUUUGCGGCUCAACCGUAAAAUUGCAGUUGAAACUGGCAGUCUUGAGUACAGUAGAGGUGGGCGGAAUUCGUGGUGUAGCGGUGAAAUGCUUAGAUAUCACGAAGAACUCCGAUUGCGAAGGCAGUUCACUGGACUGCAACUGACACUGAGGCUCGAAAGUGUGGAUAUCAAACAGGAUUAGAUACCCCAGUAGUC
rnacentral:rRNA from 1 species